AGGUGCUAAGAUUAAAGACAUAAGUCGCCACACCUGGCUGACACUUUAUAUUCUUAAAACUAAGUCCUUUUUCAUCUCAUACACUCUUCACAUGAUUUUAUUUGUGGAUUCGUGUAUGUUAGACUCACCUUGUAUUCCUGAGUGAACUGAUGUUCAUGAACAUGAGCUUAAAAAUGUGUUGUUUAUCGUGAAGUAUCACGGACUAUCCUUCAGGUUUAUCACAUCUUUUACAUGAAAAUAUUAGUAAUAGUGUGUGGUUUACUCUAGUUUUAAUUGUUUAUGUGUGUCUGCACACAUGGGAAGCACAGAGGACCAGUUGUGAGGCCAGUUUUCUCAUUCCACCAUGUGGGCUCCAGGAAGAAAGCUUGGAUCAUCUGGUCUGGUGCUGAAGCUGCAACAAAAUUCCUGAACAGGAUGCGAAAGUGUUUCAGCUGAGCCUUGAGAGGUGAACGUACCUUGGCACCUGUCCCCUGGAUGGGACAACUUGAGGAAGGGCCAUCAAUAUUCCUGUUCCCUACCCAGGACACUGCUAAUGUGCAUAUGAGGAGUCUGUAUCUAGCCUCCUGUAGCAGACUCAUCUCCCUCCUGACUUCUUCAUCUAAAAGUGUGGCUGUGGAUUCGAAUCCAACCUUCCGUGCUGGUGAUGCCAGGUGUGCCAGAGAUUUGCUUGCCAAGGGACCAGGACGCUCUGCUCUUACAUGUUGCAAAAUACUACUAUACACCAGCAUCCAGGUGCUAUUGCUUCCAGGUUCAUGUCUCCUGAUGAAUCCCAGGCUUUUGCAUACAAGCAAAGAAUUCAUAUUUCUCUCAACAAUUAACUAAAGAGGAGUAGAGGAAGAACCAGGUCUCCUAGUAAUCCCCACUUCUCAACAUAGACACAUUUGACACCUAUUCUCUCCUAUGAACGAAGGCAGGCUGACACUGAUGGUCUGGAGAUCCCACACUCAGAGCCCCAGGCUAUGAGUCAGGCCUGUUAGAGACUCUUUCCUCAGAGUCCACAGACCAGGAGGUGCCUGGGAAGGAAUUUUAUCUAAGUAUCUUUCUGGAUACCUAAAAACCAGGGCAAGGCUUUUGAAAACAGACUUUGAUUACCUUGUGUGAUCCCAGGUUUAUAUGUAGAUAUAAGAAUCUCCUGAGGACAUAGUGACAGGUCCUGCUGCACUGGCUAGUGCAUACACAUUAAGUCUACUGUGUGCCCAGGCCUGAGGGUCAGACAGAAAGUUAUGCCAGCCUGAAGGGAGUUCCAGAUGCAUCCCACAAUAGGAACAAAAUGUUUAUUGCUCCUGACUGAGAAGUGCCAUUGCAUCUUGGAAUCUUGAAUUAUGCAGUGUGCGUGUGUGCAUGUGCCUGUGGUUUUGUGUGUGUGUAUGUGUGUGUGUGUGUGUGUGUGUGUGUGUGUGUGUGUGUGUGUAAAACACUUUAGCUCUUUCACAGCAUUAUCUCAGGGGACAGUGUGUCUGACAUUUUCAAUUACCCGGGUGGUGAGGAUUUCUGGAGAGCUCUGUUCUGUUCAGUUUUUUGGUUUCUGUCCCUCUUUGGUGGGGGAGGUGCUCUAGGGUUGUUCUCAAUGGAGGAACAGACUUUGUUUGCCCUGAGGUUCAUGUGAUAGUAUCCUUUAUGUUCUGUGAACCCAUGUGGUGAUGGAACAACCUCCAAAGAGGUGGGCUUUAAGGAGCUACCACUGAGAGGAAAAAAGAUGAGCAUCCACACCAGGCUUGCUAGUGAGGUGGGUCCCUCGCCAUACCUUCUCAUCUUGUCUGAAUCAAUUAGGUUGGGUCCUAGGCACUGAGUCUCUCUCCCCCGUGUUUGGCUAAUGGCGCUUUGGGGCUGCAAGGGUCUGGAUUCUGAAGCUCCCAGGACCCUGUGCAGCACUCCCUGGACAGUCUGUAGUGACUGAGACAACCAGACCCCAGGCCAGCACAUGCCCUAUGGAACACACUAGAGAAGCAGAACUCUCCCCUCUUUCAUGUCCUCUUGUUUCCAGGCUCCGCCAAACAUGCACAUUCCUCAUAGGAGAAAAAACACAGCACAUUUGUCUUUAGGGAUUUGACUUAUCACAUGGAGCAGUAUCUGUACUUCGACCUACAUUCUGGAAAAGGACAAAACGACAUUCUUAAGGCUACACACAUUUUUUGGUCUUGAUUAUACUUCACAUGUUUUUAAUUUAAGGAUCUGUGUAUUUAAGACUCAUUCCAUAUUCAUGAAUGAUCUUGAUCAUGAAUAUGACUUUUUAAAUGUGUGUUGAAGUAUCGUGAAGUAUCAAGCAGUCUUGUUAGGUUUUCACAUUUUUACAUGGAAAAUUUGACAUAAUAUUUGGUUAUUGUAGUUUUAAUUGCAUAUGUGUGUCUGCACACAUGUGAAAAUCAGAGGACAAAUUGUGAGGACAGAUCACUCAAUCCAUCAUGUGGGCAUGAGAAAUAAAACUUGGGUCAUCAGGUCUGGUGGUAACCAACUCUAUCCAUUGAAGAACCAGCACCUAUUUUCACUUUAUCUGAUUUUGGUUACAGGGUAACGUUGGCUUUCUGGGACACAUUGGGAAGUGUCUCUUCCCUUCCAUUUUAUGGAAUUAUUUUAGGAACUUUGGUGUUCUUUAAACACCUGGGAGUUUUCAUUCAAGAAUAUUUGUGGUCUUGGGCACCUUGUUGAUUUGUAUUUGUUUAUUAAUAUUUCUUCAUUGCCUUUUACUGAUCUAUUGAGGCAUUUUAUAUGUAAUUGGAAAUUUAUCCAUUUCUACCUCAUUCACAAGGGAUUGUGUCAUAAGUUUGCUCUAUCUAUUCUAUAGAUUCUUAGAUCUGUUCUAAUGGUUCUUAAAGCCUUAUUGUAUCUGCUACAGUAUUUCUUCCAAGUAUCUAGAGUUUUGUUCUCUAUCAUCUCAUUUUAGUUGUAGUAAUUCUUCCUCAGUUUCACAUGAUUUUCCAAGGACCAUGCAAUUUUUUCAUUGUUCAUUUUGGUCUGUUUGGUUAGGUUCGGCUACUGCUUUAGGGUUUUGUGUUUUGUUUUGUUUUUGCUGUUAUUUUUCUAUGACCGUGAAGUGCACCGUGGAACCAUCUCAUCUCCCUCUCACUUUUCCAAGUGUGAAAUGAGAGCAGUAAAUCUUGUUUCCUGACCUGUUUCUCUUGCAUGAAAUAUCAUGGUUUUCAUCUCAGUGUUUUGUCAUCUGGUGUUAGGAUGGAAAUUGUCAAGCAACAUUUAAGCAAAUAUACAGAGCAGGCAACAAUGAAGCUAACAUGUAGACCAGGUCCUCCAAAAGUGUGCCCCUUUCAGAUCAUCUCAUUUUCAUGACCCUUGAUGAAAGCUACCUUCCUGAGCUGUGCCAUCUCAACAAGGAUGUGUGGGCCACUUUCAGAAUCCAGGAAAGGGAUAAAAAAAUGACUCAGUCAACCUGACUGAGAUAGGCAUCCAAAUAUAAUGAAGCUGUUCCACAUAAUCCAAACCAGAAACCAUAUCUUUAUGGUGCUGGAAAAGGCUGCCGAGGGAGAUCUGGUGAACCACACUGAGAAGGAAGGUUGUGUACAGUUGGAACAGUCAUAGCACUUCCUCGCACAGAUGAUGUGUUCUGUUCACUAACCAAUGAGAACAGCGUUGCACACAGCAACAUCACAUUGUGUGAAUUUACCCUGGCUAUUAAGUGUCCUGCGGAGAGAAGUUCAAGUACUGUGGUGGGAUAGUGUGGUAUGGUGAGGCCAGAUUACCAGCAUAUUAUGUGUGGCAGGGAAGAGCUUGCUAGCUGGAACUGAUCAUAGCACUCUGUUGGCAGGUGCAGUUGCAUGUGGUAUGCAACAGGGCCUAAUAACCCAGAGACUUAUAUAUGUAUUGAGCAUGCACCUCCCUCUUAACACCCUAUAGAUAUUUGCUAGCUUAAGACAUGUAGGACACUCAAUAGAUUUGUAGAUAAAAGUCCUGCCUUGACAGCAUCUCUUCUACUGUGUCGUGUACAAUGCCAAGUACCAGAACCUGCUAGACAACCCUCUGAUGACAGUGUAACCUGAAGUACAGGGAUAGGUAUAGGGUCUUGCUGGAUAUUCCUCCUCUUGUAAUGACCCACAUAUCAUGGUAGAGUAAGGUCCUCCUGGACACCUCCUGCCCUGACAUAUUAAAAGAAGUAAAAGUUACGAGAUUGGGUGUCAAUAGCAUUUCUUCCCCUGGGGAGACUUAAUAUCUACCCUCCUUCCUCAGCUCCCAGUGACACAUGCAGACAGCAUCCACUCUGGGAACCAAUGAGUGUAUAGGGUUUACUUAAAGAGCUUAGGUUGGUGGUUACCCACAGAGGUGUGGGUGUUUCCUCCUGCAAAACUGCACUAGAAAAGUUAGUACGCAUCGAGUUUGAUGUCUUCUACAUACAUCAAUAUAAGUUGGAGGUCCCCUCCCCUAGUCUUCUCUGGGAUAUACACUUCAGACCCUCUGCAAGGCCAUGUACAAAAAGGGAGGAGUUGCAUACAACAUGAAUGGGUAGCUGUAAGGACUUCCUUCAUGGUCUGCAGAUUCACCUCAUGUAUUUGUACACCAAUCUGUUAGAAGGAAAUAAAGUAAAGGUAUACACGCACAUACACACCACACAUACACAAAUACACCUAUCAUACAAAUAUACACUACACAUAGAUGACAGAGCACAUAGAAGUUCUUCUCUAUUUCUAUGUACAAGGGUUUCACUGCAAUGCUUUUGACCCAGUUUCGUCCCAAAGCCCAUAUCACACUAGGGAAUGGAGUUUCAGUGAGAAGUGUGCUGGAAGUGGAUAGCACAUGUCCAUCCCAACAGCAGAUCUUAUAGGAAAAUUGCAGAGAGGAAAGCUCUGAGAAUGAGCAAAGUAGCUGGUUAGCUGUUCAAUACGCAGAAGUCAGUUGUUUUUCUAUAUAGCAGAGAGAACUCUUAGUUAAUGUCAUUUGACCGGGUGUAAUAGUACAUCUAUUUUUACUUUCCAAAGCAUUGUUUGUUUUGUUUUGUUUGUAAGUUUUUCAUACGAUAUUUUAUUCAUAUUCUUUCACUUCCUACUCCUUUUCCCAGAAUUCUCCCUCACUACACAUUUACUUAUAUAUUUUUACCUUAAGGAACACAAAA